AGCUAAGCUAGCUCAGAGUGAGUAGCGUGUUGAGCUUGCUGAAGGGAGCGGCAAUGUCGAAGGAGGUGAGCGAGGAGCCGGAGCACGUGCGGCCCAAGGACUACACCGACCCGCCGCCGGCGCCGCUGUUCGACGUCGGCGAGCUCCGGCUGUGGUCCUUCUACCGGGCGCUCAUUGCGGAGUUCAUCGCCACGCUCCUGUUCCUAUACAUCACCGUCGCCACCGUCAUUGGGUACAAGGUGCAGUCGUCCGCCGACCAGUGCGGCGGCG
rnacentral:misc_RNA from 1 species